UUCAUGGAAAUCCCAUCUGGAGGACUGAAUGAAAGUGAAUUUUCCUUGGAAACUCAAAGCUCUGGGAAGAACUCCAGUUGGAACUUUAAAUUUGGGAGUAAUCUGUGUGAAUGGUAUUUUAAACUAUGAAACUGUGAUCACUAAGGGAAUAAGUAUGGAUGGAAAAGAGGGGUUGCUGUCCUUUGAGGACGUGGCUCUGUACUUCACCAGGGAAGAGUGGGACACACUGGACUGGGCUCAGAAGGACCUCUACAGAGACGUGAUGCUGGACAACUACAGAAGCGUGCUCUCCUUGGUACGCGGGCCUCUCACCGCUGCGGCCUCUCCCACUGCGGAGCACAGGCUGCAGACGCGCAGGCUCAGCGGCCAUGGCUCACGGGCCCAGCCGCUCCGCGGCACGUGGGAUCCUCCCGGACCGGGGCACGAACCCGCGUCCCCUGCAUCCGCAGGCGGACUCCCAACCACUGCGCCACCAGGGAAGCCCCUGUUGUUGUUUUUUAAAUUAAUGUAUUUAUAUUUUAUUUUUGGCUGCGUUGGGUCUUCGUUGCUGUGCGCGGGCUUUCUCGAGUUGCGGCGAGCGGGGGCUACUCUUCAUUGCGCUCCGCGGGCUUCUCAUUGCAGUGGCUUCUCUUGUUGUGGAGCACGGGCUCUAAGUGUGGAGGCUUCAGUAGUUGUGGUGUGUGGGCUCAGUAGUUGUGGCUCACGGGCUGUAGAGCGCGGGCUCAGUAGUUGUGGCUCACGGGCUGUAGAGCGCGGGCUCAGUAGUUGUGUUGCAUGGGCUUAGUUGCUCUGUGGCUUCUGGGAUCUUCCCGGACCAGGGCUCGAACCUGUGUCCCCUGCAUUGGCAGGUGGAUUCUUAACCAUUGCGUCACCAGGGAAGUCCUAUAUUGUUUUAUUUCCUUAAAAAUGAUAUGAAGGGAAUUCCCUGGUGGUCCAGUGGUUAGGACUCCACGCUUUCACUACAGGGGGCCCAGGUUUGAUUUCUGGUCAGGGAACUAAGAUCCCACAAGCUGUGUGGCACAGCCAAAAAAAAAAAUGAUAUGAAACAAAUAUGACAUAUUAAGAAUUGAUUAAUCGGUGUGGUGCAUAUGUGAAUGUUCUUUAAAAUUGUUCUCUCUAGUCUACACUCGUGUAUGUUAGCAAUACUUCACAAUAAACUUUUCAUGUUUUUUGUGAGAUAUCACAGUUCAAAAGUAUAUGAAUAUAUAUGACAGUAAACAGUAACACCCAUGCCUCCUCAUCCUAGUUAAGGAAUAAAUCACCUUCAGAAUCACAAAAGUCCCUUAUAUUCUCUCCAGUCUCAUCUCCCUUCCUCUUCAAUAAAGGUUAAUCAUUCUCUUGCGUUAUGUAGAUAUACCACUUAUCUCUGUCUGGACAAUAUAUUACCUAGUUUUGCUUUUUCUGGAACUUAGUGUACAUGGAAUCAUACUCUUGUUCUUUCACUACAUGUGUGUUGAGAAUCAUGCAUCUCUGUAUAGCUGUGGUUCAGUCAUAUUCACUGACACUGAGUAUCCCACUGCAGGAAUAUAGCACAAUUUAUGAAACUCUUUGGCUGAUCAGUUUUCAGGAUGUUUCCAGUUUGGGGCUUUUACAAAAAAGCAUGUCAAAUGCCUCUUGGUUCCCUGUGAAAAGACCUAGAAAUAAGUUAUAUACAUGUUCAACUUUAAGAAGUAGCACCAAAUCGUUUUCCCUAGUAAAUGUAACAACUUACACACCAAUAGCUGAGGAGAGUUCCCACCACUCUACGUCUCUGUUAGUACUUGGUACUGACAGAUUUUGAAAGGUUAGAUCAUCUGUAAGGUGUGAAAUAGUAUCUAAUUGUGGCUUAAUUUGCAUUUUUCUUAUUACUAAUGUAAUUGAGUAUGUUUUCAUCUUCAUGGGCUGUAAUUCCUAUUUUGUCUUUUCCUAAUAUAGUGUAGUUAAAUUUACCAAUCUUUUAUAGAUAGUGCUUUUUGAGUCUCGCUGAAGAUUGCUACCAGUUUAUCAACAUGUUUUUUUCUUCCUGGGCACACUCAUAAUAGAAUGUAACUUGGCACUUGCUUUGGGGGAAAGGUGUAUUGAAAGCCAUAAAAUAACUAAAACACUGAUCAAGGAAUUCUACUUCUCUGAACGUAGCGUUAGAUUCUAAAGAACAAUCCAAAUCCUAAAAUUACACUGACAUUCACUACAGCAUUUUUUGCAACAAUGAAAAAUGAGACAGACCUGAAACUUCCAACAAAAGGAAUUGUUACAUCCACUUGAUGGAAAAUGACCAGCUAUUAAGCAUAACAUUUAGGAAAACCAUGUAAAAUCCUUAGGACAUAAUACUAAAGAAGAUAUAAAAUAUAAACACUGUGAUUUUUGUUAUACAGAAAAAUGUGCACAGAAAAAGAAUCAGAAGGAAAUACACCAAAAUACCGGUAUCAAAUGGAUUGUGGUGUUGGGAUUUUGGGUAAUUUUUCCCCUAUUGUUUUCCCAGAUAUCCAAUAAUGUACUUGUAUUCCCUUAAUUAAAAAAAAAAUUCCAAAAAUAUGGAUGCAAUGCAUAUUAUCAG